CAAUAGCGUAUAUUAAAGUUGUUGCAGUUAAAAAGCUCGUAGUUGGAGUUCUGGUGGGAGCGAUCGGUCUGGCGCUUAGCGCGAGUACUUGCAUCGUCUCCGGCCAUCCUUGGGGAGAGUCUGUCUGGCAUUAGGUUGUCGGGCAGAGGAUCCUCAUCGUUUACUGUGAAAAAAUUAGAGUGUUCAAAGCAGGCUUAUGCCGUUGAAUAUAUUAGCAUGGAAUAAUAAGAUAGGACUUUGGUACUAUUUUGUUGGUUUGCGCACCAAAGUAAUGAUUAAUAGGGACAGUUGGGGGUAUUCGUAUUCCGUUGUCAGAGGUGAAAUUCUUGGAUUUACGGAAGACGAACUACUGCGAAAGCAUUUACCAAGGAUGUUUUCAUUAA
rnacentral:rRNA from 1 species